UCCACAGCUAGCCGUGCCCUCUACAUAGUUCCAUGCUCACCUACAAUGCAAGAACUACAUAAGCCAUGCUUAGUAAGCAAGAAUCAUGCAUGUCAUGAGUAUGAGUAACAAAGAUAUGUAACACCAUGUCAUUUACUUUAAACAUCGUGCUAAAGAUGCAUCAUAUUCCAAUAUUCAUCAAAGUCGACUCGAAAUUAUUUCAUUUGAAAUCUUUCAUUUCAUUGGGUCCUUGACCCACCUACUAUGCACCGGAUAGAGCUCUACAUAAUAUCAAUAUCAAUAAACAAAUGGUCAAUAUGAAAUCGACAUCGACGAGUGGACCAUCCUCUUGUGACCACUAAAGGCCCAUUCCCUGACUACCCCUAUGAUCACCCAAGAAGUCUCCCACCCGGCUGCGCCAAUAAUCAUAAUAUCACAAGGGCACAGUCGAGUGGUCCGCCCUCCCUUGAUCACCAAAGGUCGAUCCCCUAUCUACCUUUGCAAUCACCCAGGAAGUAACGCCCGCAAUGCCAGACAUAUCACAUAAGCAUACCUCACAUGCCUCGGUGCCCUAGUAGUGGUCAAUAAAACAUUUAUAAUGAAACUCACUUUGAAAUCAUGUUUUGCAUGCAGGAUUUUCAACCAUGUCACAUGUCGUGCAUGCAUAUGAAAAUGCUCAUAAAUGACAUAUUUAAUGAAAAUCGAUGUCAAUAGAUUACGCAACCUCAUAUUCAAUUAUCGUAACCACCAUAUGAUAUGCUAUAAGCCUCUUAUCAAAGUUAUGUAGAUAUUUCAACAUUGCUAUGUCACAUAUACUAGGUUCUUGCAUCGUAGUUGCAAAUGGAUUUUCACUUACCUUUUUGCCCUUGUGUGAUACCACUCUCUGUCACACCCCAAAUAUAUACAGAUAACCAUACGAAUUCCUAUGUCGAAAUGAUAUUGGUAACUCGAUCUAGACAUAAAAUUUAGAUAUACUUUUUUUUUAAUAAAAUGAAACGAGCAUUUGCACAAUUAUGUCCCUAUUUGUUAACUUCAAAUCACCUGUGAUGAUCAUAUGUUAUAUCAAAAUCAACGAUCAUAUAACCAUAAUCCAACAUGUAUGUUCAAAGGUUAUAAACACAUCUAUAGGCCAUUUCAAAAGUUAUACAAGACAGGACCCCCAAAAUACGACACAAUAGAGUAUAAGCUCAAAACAACAGCCCACAAAAUAACCCUACAGGUCGUCAUCCAUGUACAUUGAUCUUUGGAAUCCUGUAAGAGCUCCACAGCUAGCCGUGCCCUCUACAUAGUUUCAUGCUCACCUACAAUGCAAGAACAACAUAAGCUAAUGCUUAGUAAGCAAGAAUCAUACAUGUUAUGAGUAUGAGUAACAAGGAUAUGUGACACCAUGUCAUUUACUUUAAACAUCGUGCUAAAGAUGCUUCAUAUUUCAAUAUUCAUCAAAGUCGACUCGAAAUUAUUUCAUUUGAAAUCUUUCAUUUCAUUGGGCCCUUGACCCACCAACUAUGCACCGAAUAGAGCCCUAUGAUCACCCAAGAAGUCUCCCACCCGACUGCGCCAAUAAUCAUAACAAGGGCAUAGUCGAGUGGUCCGCCCUCCCGUGAUCACCAAAGGCCCAUCCCCUGUCUAUCUUUGAAAUCACCCAGGAAGUAUCACCCGCGAUGCCAAACAUAUCACAUAAGCAUGCCUCACAUGCCUCGGUGCCCUAGUAGUGGUCAAUAAAACAUUUAUAAAGAAAACUUACUUUGAAAUCAUGUUUUGCAUGCAAAGUUUUCAACCAUGAUCAUAUGUUGUGCAUGCCAACGAAAAUGCUCAUGAAUGACAUGCUUAAUGGAAGUUGAUGUCAAUGUAUUUUGCAACCGCAUACUCAAUGAUCAUAAUCAUCAUAUAGGGUACAACGAGCUUUCUUAUCAAAGUAUGAAAAUAUCCUAACAUCACUAUACCACAAAUGCUAGGUUCUUGCAUCAUAGUUGCGAAUUGAUUUUCACUUACCUUUUUGCCCUUGUGUGUGCACAAGCUCCUACGGAGAUUAUAUCACUUUCCUUUUUCACUCAACGUCGGAAAAUCACCUGUAUUACCAUUUAAUAUUAAAGACAAUCCUCCAUUUAAUAGCCUUAACACACACAAAAUCCCAAAAUACUUCCAUUCACGUCAAAAUAAUUUAAACGAAUUCAUUAUUCAAGUUACUAACGGCAUUACAAUCUCGUCCCAUAAGUCUCAUUUUUCCUCGAGUCCAAUUACCAACAUCAACGUCAUCCAAUUGUUGUCAACAACCUAAUACUCCUUAGAAUCUAUUUUCUAGGCCCAAGAGAUAAUUAAUUUACAUGUAAAGGUUGAAAUCAUAUUAAACACAGAAAUGGACAGAACCUGUUUUUCGGGUUUCAUCACCGUCCAACUACUUUUCCAAUCCGUUUUCACCCCCUUAUCCAUAUCCAAUGACUUCCAAAUUUUUACCACGUUUCUAUAACAUGUAUGUGAAGGCAAUAAUCCUCUAAAGUCGUGACAAAUCAAGUGUUCUCAGCAUCAAAAUAGUCCAUUUCCACGACAUCAAAAUCAGGCAGUUUUCAUUGUGACAGCUUUCGGUUUCCAUUUUAUUAGCAUGUCAUCAAACAGAUUCCAGGCUAUUAGAAAACCAUUUAUAUCCUUCUAAAUCCAAUAUAAAAACAUUCAUUUACAUAGAUACAAGUUAUAUCUUCAGUAUUAUCCAAAAUCAAAGUUUAAACCAUCCAAAUUCAUCAAUCAACACAUCUCUAUUUCUGUUGGUUUCUUUCAGGUUCUUGUACUCAAUUACCCCUCUCUUUUGCCAUCAUAAAAUCAUAAACAACCCUUAUACUUAGCCUCAAGUAAGUUUAUAGUUUAAACAUAUUAUAAAACAAGCAAAAGAACUAAAGAAAAACUUCAAAACCGUGAGCUAAACUCACCUAUCCAGAAAUUCAAUUUCAGCUCCUUGUUUCUGCUUCUCUCUUUUCCUUUUUGCUUUCUCUUUCAAUCGGUGGUCAAUUGGGGAUAAUUUGUAAGACUAAACAUGUUGUUAGGAGGUGUAUAUAAAGUCUUCAAGAUGCUGGAGACGUGACUCUUCCUUCAGGAUUAAGAAAAUGUGGGGUGCAGCAAAGUGUUUAGCAUGAGGUGGUCUUUUCCUACUAUAUUUGACUUUUCUCUUGGACUAUUUAACUUAUAUUGGUUUAUAAGAUAUAUAUA
rnacentral:lncRNA from 1 species